AUACUCUGGUUUCUCUUCAGAUCGAAUAAAGCUUUCACCUUUACUAAAGUUUUCUGUGGAGAGGAUCAUCCAUGAGUUUUCAAAAAAAAUUUGCUCUCUGUCUCUAGGAUGUU